UACAGAGGGGGCAAGCGUUGUUCGGAAUUACUGGGCGUAAAGGGCGCGUAGGCGGCCCGCUAAGUCAAACGUGAAAUCCCCGAGCUCAACUCGGGAACUGCGUCCGAUACUGGUGGGCUUGAAUCCGGGAGAGGGAUGCGGAAUUCCAGGUGUAGCGGUGAAAUGCGUAGAUAUCAGGAGGAAUACCGAUGGCGAAGGCAGGUCUCUGGGCCAAUACUGACGCUCAUGCACGAAAGCGUGGGGAGCAAACAGG
rnacentral:rRNA from 1 species